rnacentral:rRNA from 1 species
GAUGAACGCUGACAGAAUGCUUAACACAUGCAAGUCAACUUGAAUUUGGGUUUUUACCUUAGGUUUGGGUGGCGGACGGGUGAGUAACGCGUAAAGAACUUGCCUCACAGCUAGGGACAACAUUUGGAAACGAAUGCUAAUACCUAAUAUUAUGAUAAUAGGGCAUCCUAUAAUUAUGAAAGCUAUAAGCGCUGUGAGAGAGCUUUGCGUCCCAUUAGCUAGUUGGAGAGGUAACGGCUCACCAAGGCGAUGAUGGGUAGCCGGCCUGAGAGGGUGAUCGGCCACAAGGGGACUGAGACACGGCCCUUACUCCUACGGGAGGCAGCAGUGGGGAAUAUUGGACAAUGGACCGAGAGUCUGAUCCAGCAAUUCUGUGUGCACGAUGAAGUUUUUCGGAAUGUAAAGUGCUUUCAGUUGGGAAGAAACAAAAGACGGUACCAACAGAAGAAGUGACGGCUAAAUACGUG